AGAUUGAUAGAAAACCCGUCCGCUAGACUUACUAGCGGACGUAUUAAGUAAUUUUUCCAGACGCUUUUGCCCCCCUCCUCUUCCCCACUUACUUGGCCAAGACAAAUCGACAGUAAGUACACAAUCCGUUAGUCAUACUAGCGGACAGACUAGCGGACAGGCAAAUUAACUCAAAGGGGAAGGGAAAGGUAACAAAGGUACCGUGUUCUGCGAAUUGGCCGAAAGGAAAGGUAACAAAGGUACCGUCUUCUACGAAUUGGGCGAACCGGAAGAACCAUAGAAGCAAGUAUCUGCAAAUCGAAAAGGUAACAAAGGUGUUCUGCGAAUUGGGCGAAGGGAAAGGUAACAAAGGUACCGUGUUCUGCGAAUUGGGCGAACCGGAAGAACCUAGAAGCAAGUAUUUGCAAAUCGAAAAGGUAACAAAGGUAUAGAUAUACAGUGCCAAAAUUCGUCCCUAGUAUGUCUAGCGGAUUGGGCGGAACGCAAUAACCCUAGAAGCAAUCAACUGCAAUUCGGCAAGAAGUUAUCGAAAUUAAACCUUGUUCUUCCAAAUUCGCAGAACACGCAGGUACCAAAAUCUGAAUUUAAACAUGCCAUGCAUUUUUUUUCUACAGAUCAAUUGUUUUUUUUUAUAUAUAUUUUCUUGGAAGUUUCAAAGUUAUAUAAUCUUGAAACCUAGAUUUGUGGGAAAAAUUGCAUUUUUUUGGUUCACAUUUAGCUCUGUUAUAGUCAUGAGAUACAUAAUGUUUUUUAUUUUGAAACAAUAUCAAAUAUAGCUCUGUUAUUUUUAAGCUAUUGAAUAUGAUCAAAUAAAAAUGUUGGACUGAUUAUGC
rnacentral:lncRNA from 1 species